rnacentral:lncRNA from 1 species
GCCCGCUGCAGGCGGCUGGUGGUCCAGGGAAGCGGCGUCGACUGCGUGCAAAACAACCGCCGCCAACGCAACUCCACACCUCCCAGACCCACACGUCAAAGAACGCGAACCCCGCGGCCCCAACUUCUGGCCUCUCCGCUCCGGCGCCUGCAGCCCCGCGGGGAAGGGGCGACGCGAGGGGGCGCAGGGACAGCCCCGCACCUGGGAGGCCCGAGGGGGCGCCCGGGAGGGAGGGGCUGCAAACGGCGGCGAGCGCGCGCGGCAACCGCCAAACGCCCGCCUUUGUAGCCCCGGCCCCGCGUCCUUACCCUGCCGACGGCUGCUCGGCUCCGGCCCGCGGCGGCGGCCCCAGAGCCGAGGACCGGGGUGGGCUCGCGCUCUUCGUCACUGGAGAAGUCCGGGGGCCCCUUGCUGUUGGUGCCGGCGGGGAGCGGCGGCCGGUUGCGAGCCGUGAGGUGCUGCAGGUAGAGCUGGACGUACACGUCUUUGCGCUGCUCCCCGGCCGGCAGCGUCACAUUGUUGGCGACCAACUCACUCUUCAACUUGUCUUUUGUCAGGACCGAGGGGUCUUCCAGGAACUCCGGCAUCUCGGGGAUCUGCGAAGCCCCCUCCCCACAGCCUUUGCCGCCGCCGCUCACGCCGGCGCGCUUGCUCCUGGCCGGGGACCGCGCUGCCGCCUCCGAGCCUCACGGCUCCUGCCCGGGAAGAGCGCUGCGGAGCGGAACAAAAACUCGCGGACACAAAGCCAAGCCAGACCCGGACACAAAAGACCCCAGAGCCGAACUACGAACCAACUGCGGCCAAGCUGGAAGCUCGCACCAACCCCAGCCCACACACUACAGGCAGGAGGCGAGCAGCCUGCUUCGCCCACGCCCCAAGAACGCGCGCCGCCAUUGGCGGGCGACGGGAGGAAGCGCGGCGGUGAUUGGCGAGACGGCUCGCGCGGGUUCCAUUAGCCGCCGCGCUGAGCGAGAGGAGACGCCGAUAAGGGACAGGUCGUACUGCUUUUGUGCGCCGUUUCCUCUCCCUCCCCCAGCUUGAGAAGCAGCUUUCGUCUCUGGGGUCGAUCGCCUACGAACGCGCCGAAUUCCACGCCAGUGUGAGGACCCUUGGCUGGGCCUUUCUUCCUCCCGGGACACUGAAGCUCCAAGAGUAGCCGCAGCCUUGCCUUCCCCAAACGCUAGCCCUGAAGGGGAAGAAAAGAAGCGAGGCUUGUCUGCAGGCACUCAUAUUCCUUGAUUUGAUUUACUUUGGGAGGGGGAGGGCGGGGAGUUACCCCUCUCCUCGCGAACGCUUCUUUUGUUCCAGAAACCCAGGGGAAGCCAGACCUCUACAAUCGGGCACUUAAAUUACCCUUGAAUUUGUGACAAAAGUGUACUAUACCAUUCACUUCUUAGUGUCAUAGUUGGGGCAUGUCUAAAUUGUUUAAUUUGAACAGUGCGUUCAGACGCAAGACAAAUUCGCGCUUGCAUUUUUGUUGAAACCGUCUCUGGCUUUGGAUCCCACCACCCGCAAGAAUCCUAAACCUAACGUUUGAUAACAAAACGAAGGAGAACCCUUGGGAACCCCCUCAAUGGUCAAUUUAAAAUAACAGAUGGUGCAUAAUCCUAAAGGAAGACUAGUGACCUAUAAUUAGGCCUAGAACCCUAAUCAAACCCGUAUUACCGAUCCAAAUUAAAACCUGGUAGAAUCUAAUACAUUGACUGCAAUUAAAAUGUUUGCCUGGAAAUUAGUAUCACUGAUGACAAAUAUUUGUAUUUCUGAUGAAUAUGUAUGUUUAAAGAUGCUUUCUUUCUAGAAAGGAAAGGAGACCUUGGAUGUAGGGUGUGUUAAUCAUUUCCCCAGAAUCUGAGCUCCAAACUAUGUUUUAGAAACUGGUUAAAUUUUUUUUAAAUGUUUGCCUGCUUUCUACAUUGCUAGGUUAGAAUACAUUUAAAACAAACGCCUUCACUAAAAAUGUUUCCUAUGAUUUAAGCGACUUACUUUUAUUCAAAUUGCGAUAUUAUUUCUUUUAGUGAUAAUUAUUUUCCUAGAGGUAACUAAUUCCUUUAUAAAAAUCUCAGUAUUCACAUACAUUUAAGCAAUGGUAUUAAGCUCAAUAAUGCAAAUUAAAAAUCAGGUUUUAAUUAGCAAGUUGUUAGGUAGGUUUUUAUGAUCCCUUGUAAAAGUUGCUUGGUUUUUUGUCCUCACAGCUUCCCUGGACACAUAGGCAAAUGUUUUUAUCUUCAGAAGGGGAACUGAGCUGAGAGGCAAAGGACCAUGACUUUGCAAUGACUGGUAACCCAGUACGUAUAAUGCAAGAACUGCAUUCUAGAUACGCCUGAAAUUAAUGUUUCCUGGGCAAAAACAUUUUCAUUAUCUUUUUUUUAAUCCCUGGACAUUAGCUACAGGUGGUUACUUGCAGAUUUACUGCUGUAGAGCUCCAAAAUUGAGAUUACACUUUUCAGAUUCUGCGUACCCUAAGGCUAAGAGGUUGGGCUAUUGAGUUUGGGUGGUCUCUUUGGUCCUGAUUGCUACUUCCAAACCAUUUCUGCUCUUUUCUGCUUCAAAAAUAUUUGAAGUUCAUAUCUUCUGGCUAAAUCACUUUCUACUCUCCUUCCUGCCAUCAUCCACGAGCCUCCUGGUCACUUUCCAGAAAUUAUAGAGCUGCUUGCCGUAGGUUUUCCUCACCAUCCCUCUUGUCUACAUUCUAUCUGAAUUCAGCAUGCUUGUAGGUGACCCAUGCAACACCAACACUUGGCCUCUUAGACCUCUGACCUCUUCAUCUCCAACAAUUUGUUCCUCUCUUGCGUCUUAACCACUUCGGUAUCAGUCAGAUUCUGAACCUUGUCAUCAGUUGAAAUCUCAGUUUCAAGCUUCCCAAUUGUCAAUCACUAGCCUUUUUUUCCCAGCUAAUUUAUGGUACUCUCACUUACCUAAUUAAGACCUCCACGCUAUUAACCCCAACACUUAAAAAAACUCAACUCUUCUGCUUCUGCCAUCAUGUAAUAAUUUUGCAACUCACCUGACUUAAAUUCCCUGAUCAGUCCUUUUCAUCACUCUUUUACAAACAUUUUCAACUCUCUGAUCUCAAUGUCUCCUUUUUUGCUUGAAAGAAUCUCAGCCUUGCUUGGACUAAACCAUGCUCCAGCUGAACUUUCUCAUUGCUUACAUCCAAACAGCAAAAGCUGCUGGAGAAAAGUCAGUCAUAUAACAAGCUAACUGGUUUUAAUUCAUGACCUCAGUCCUCUCAGGAGCACUCAACACUGGCUGGCAAUGCUAUUCCAGUCUCUGGGUUAACCAUUCAUACGUUCACAUCUCCUCAAAUUUCACAUCCUUUUUCCCUACCUCUCAUUUUUAGCUGGUGACCUUGCCUCAACUUCAAAAAAUAAAAACCACCUAUGAGGAAUGCUUCAACGUCAGACUUUCCAAUUUGCAUUCAUUUUCUCUUGCAUUUUUCUUUUCAGUGAAAGAUGUGUCCUGUCAGAAGGAAAUUCCACCACUUGUACUCUGGCUCUCACCCUUCUCAAGGAAUUGACUCUUUCCAUCAUCUCCUUAAUACUUGUUUCAACAUAAAAGAUAAUUUUUAAAAUAUUUGAUCAAUGUGACACAAAAAACACAAAGGCUGAGCACUGUGGCUCACGCCUGUAAUCCCAACACUUUGGGAGGCUGAGACAGGCGGAUCCCUUGAGCUUAGGAGUUCAAGACUAGCCUGGGCAAAACAGUAAAACCCCCUCUCUACAAAAAAAUACAAAAUUUAGCCAUGGUGCCCACCUGUAGUUCUAGCUACUAGGGAGACUGAGGUGGGAGGAUCACUUGAGCCUGGGAGGUUGAGGCUGCAGUGAGCCAUAAUCCUGUCACUGCAUUCCAGCCUGGGUGACAGAGUGAGACCCUGUCUCUAAAAUCAAUAUGUGUAAGAUGUAGAUUGGUCCCUUCCAGAAAGGCGGGACAACUAUUAAUAAAAGUGGGGGUUGGGGGGCUCGGGGUGUUCCAGGUCAUUGGUAGAUAAAAGUAAUUUUAAUUCAGAAAAUUUCACAGGGAAAUGAGAGUUUUUAGAAGUCUUAAUAUUCUGACUGUGGUCAGAAUGUCCAACAGAGACUAGGCUGGAGUGCAGUGACGUAGUCUCGGCUCACUGCAACCUCCGCCUCCCAGGUUCAAGCAAUUCUCCUUGCCCCAGCCUCCAGAGUAGCUGGGACUACAGGCGCCUGCUAAUACACUCAUCUAAUUUGUUUGUAUUUUAGUAGAGACUGGGUUUCACCAUGUUGACCAGGCUGGUCUUGAACUCCUGACCUCAGGUGAUCCACCCGCCUCAGCCUCCCAAAGUUCUGGGAUUACAGGCAUGAGCCACUGUGCCUGGUGGAUGCAAAUUUUUUUUUUUUUUUUUUUGGAAAUGGAGUCUCCCUCUGUUGCCGAGCCUGGAGUGCAGUAGCACAAUCUCAGCCCACUGUAACCUCUGCCUCCCAGGUUCAAGCAAUUCUUCUGCCUCAGCCUCCCAAGUAGCUGGGAUUACAGGCGCCUGCUGCCACGCCCAGCUAAUUUUUUUGUAAUAUAGUAGAGACAAGAGUUUCACCAUGUUGACCAGGCUGGUCUCAAACUCCUGACCUCAGGCAAUCCACCCGCCUCAGCCUCCCAAAUUGCUGGGAUUACAGGCAUGAGCCACUGCGUCUGGCCUGAUGCAAUUUUUUUUUUUUUUAAAUCAGAAAACUUUCCCAUAACUUAAAAAAAAAUCAUCUGGAGGUGGGCCCGGUGGCUCACGCCUGUAAUCCCAGCACUUUGGGAGGCUGAGGCAGGCAGAUCACCUGAGGUCGGGAAUUUGAGACCAUGUGGAGAAACCCCGUCUCUACUAAAAAUACAAAAUUAGCCUGGCGUGGUGGCGCAUGCCUGUAAUCCAAGCUACACGGGAGGCUGAGGCAGGAGAAUCACUUGAACCCGGGAGGCGGAGGUUGUGGUGAACCGAGAUCGUGCAAUUGCAUUCCAGCCUGGGCAACACGAGCGAAACUCCAUCUCAAAACAAACAAACAAACAAAAAUCACCUGGAUAACUGCCUCCAUUCUUUUUUUGAAGUUCUUAAUAUUAUUAACAUACAGCUGGCUUUGUUUUUCAUUAUCCCAUUUUGCGGAGGAUUGGUUGUGAAUUUAAGGGUGUCACCUCAAACAGGAGGGUAAGUUGCACUUUAAGUGAUGUAAAAUAGUAAGAAGCUAAAAACCUUAAAAAAUGUUUAGUUCUCGGCCGGGCGUCGUGGCUCAUGCCUGUAAUUCCAGCACUUUGGGAGGCUGGGGUGGGCGGAUCACUUGAAGUCAUGAGUUCGAGCUCAGCCUGGCCAAGAAAUUAAAAAAUUAGCUGGGCCUUGUGGUGGGCGCCUGUAAUCUCAGCUACUAGGGAGGCUGAGGUAGGAGAAUCGCUUGAACCCGGGAGGCAGAGGUUGCAGUGAGCCGAGAUCGUGCCACUGCACUCCAGCCUGGGCGACCGAUCAAGACUCCAUCUUAAAAAAAAAUAAUAAGAGGGGCCAGGAGCGGUGGCUCACACCGGUAAUCCCAGCACUUGGGGAGGCCAAGGCGGGCAGAUCACAUCAGGAGUUCGAGACCAGCCUGACCAACAUGGUGGAAGCCCCUCUCUACUGAAAAUACAAAAGUUAGCCGUGCCUGGUGGCAUGCGCCUGUAAUCCCAGCUACUUGGGAGGCUGAGGUGGGAGAAUCCCUUGAACCCGGGAGGCGGAGGUUGCAGUGAGCUGAGAUGGCACCAUUGCACUCCAGCCUGGGCAACAGAACGAGACUCGGUCUCUCAAAAAAAAAAAAAGUUUAGCUCCCUUAAGCCAUUUCUGAUAAUUUAUUCUAAAGAUAAAAUCAAAUGUGGAAUUCAUUUAUAAAGGUAUUUAUUGCUUCAUUUAUAAUGGUGAAAAAAAUAAAAAAUCUCUAUCUCCAAUAGUAAGGAAUUGGUUGUUUAUGAUAUAUCCAUAUGACAAAAUAAUGCAC